GACGAACGCUGGCGGCGUGCUUAACACAUGCAAGUCGAACGGAAAGGCCCUGCUUUUGUGGGGUGCUCGAGUGGCGAACGGGUGAGUAACACGUGAGUAACCUGCCCUUGACUUUGGGAUAACUUCAGGAAACUGGGGCUAAUACCGGAUAGGAGCUCCUGCUGCAUGGUGGGGGUUGGAAAGUUUCGGCGGUUGGGGAUGGACUCGCGGCUUAUCAGCUUGUUGGUGGGGUAGUGGCUUACCAAGGCUUUGACGGGUAGCCGGCCUGAGAGGGUGACCGGCCACAUUGGGACUGAGAUACGGCCCAGACUCCUACGGGAGGCAGCAGUGGGGAAUAUUGCACAAUGGGCGGAAGCCUGAUGCAGCAACGCCGCGUGCGGGAUGACGGCCUUCGGGUUGUAAACCGCUUUCGCCUGUGACGAAGCGUGAGUGACGGUAAUGGGUAAAGAAGCACCGGCUAACUACGUGCCAGCAGCCGCGGUGAUACGUAGGGUGCGAGCGUUGUCCGGAUUUAUUGGGCGUAAAGGGCUCGUAGGUGGUUGAUCGCGUCGGAAGUGUAAUCUUGGGGCUUAACCCUGAGCGUGCUUUCGAUACGGGUUGACUUGAGGAAGGUAGGGGAGAAUGGAAUUCCUGGUGGAGCGGUGGAAUGCGCAGAUAUCAGGAGGAACACCAGUGGCGAAGGCGGUUCUCUGGGCCUUUCCUGACGCUGAGGAGCGAAAGCGUGGGGAGCGAACAGGCUUAGAUACCCUGGUAGUCCACGCUGUAAACGGUGGGUACUAGGUGUGGGGUCCAUUCCACGGGUUCCGUGCCGUAGCUAACGCUUUAAGUACCCCGCCUGGGGAGUACGGCCGCAAGGCUAAAACUCAAAGGAAUUGACGGGGCCCCGCACAAGCGGCGGAGCAUGCGGAUUAAUUCGAUGCAACGCGUAGAACCUUACCUGGGUUUGACAUGGAUCGGGAGUGCUCAGAGAUGGGUGUGCCUCUUUUGGGGUCGGUUCACAGGUGGUGCAUGGCUGUCGUCAGCUCGUGUCGUGAGAUGUUGGGUUAAGUCCCGCAACGAGCGCAACCCUUGUUCACUGUUGCCAGCACGUUAUGGUGGGGACUCAGUGGAGACCGCCGGGGUCAACUCGGAGGAAGGUGGGGAUGACGUCAAGUCAUCAUGCCCCUUAUGUCCAGGGCUUCACGCAUGCUACAAUGGCUGGUACAGAGAGUGGCGAGCCUGUGAGGGUGAGCGAAUCUCGGAAAGCCGGUCUCAGUUCGGAUUGGGGUCUGCAACUCGACCUCAUGAAGUCGGAGUCGCUAAUAAUCGCAGAUCAGCAACGCUGCGGUGAAUACGUUCCCGGGGCU
rnacentral:rRNA from 1 species